AAACUAAGCACACUAAUUGUCUCAAAGCAUUGGCGGUUCUAGGGGCGGGGCCACAGGGGCACUGGCCCCUGCUGAAAUAUGAUUGGCCCCUGUAGUGCCCCUGUCCUGUCACUCAUCUGUCCUUUGUGCGGUGAUGAGAUUAUAGGUGGAUGCAAUUCCGAGUCCAAACACUAGUGGCCGUGUGGCGCUAAGGAGCAAAAUAGUGUGUGAAAUCCAACAGAAGAAGAUUUGAAAGAUUCCAAGAAGGGAGAAUUUUUCAACCGACAUCGGAUCUGAUGAGAGUCCACGUUAUGAGGAGUUUGUUGGUAAGUCACGAAUCACUGUUUACUCACAGUUGCCAUGUAAGUCAAGUCUGACAAUAAGUCCAAUGGAAAGCAAUGCCGACAUUAGUUAAAGGUAAUGUUAAAAAGGGCUUGUGAAAAAACGUUAGCCCUUGCUAAUCCAUGUACUUCUUUUGUAAUCUGCAUUUCGUGUGUUAAUAGUUGGCACUGUCUGAUAGAGAACAUGAAAAGAAAGGGUCAGAUACAGGCGGGAAUUCUGCAGUUUUUUCCCAAGAGAGUGAGUGUGUCAGCUGGUGAAAACGAGCAUGGAGAAAUCAGAGAGAGAGCCGCAGGAGGCUGUAGACCAGAGGCUGGAACAGGGCAAGGGACCUCCAUUCCCCCUUUAUCAGCUGCAAACUGGGACAAGACUCUCUCCAAUUCAGACAACCAGAGUGAAGUUAAUGACUCAACCUUCCAUCCUGCUGGGCCACCAGAGUCACCAAUCAAUACUAAUCCUGCAGGAUCAAAUGACAUCUUCCAGUGUGAUGCACAGAAUCCUGCGCAGACAUCAGAACGGUGUUCUGUUCCAGUAGGACCUGGUGGUGUGCUUCUCAUUUUGUAAAGGCUCUUUAAAUUUAAUUGAAUUUUGCAGUCAGUCACUUGCAGAUUCUGAAUGCCAUGAAUGUUAAAGGUUGAGAGAUAUAAGCAACUGACUCAGACUUAUUUAAUUGACUUCCCACCAGACAUUUCCCAGUCAAGAGCAGAGGGUCCUGUGAUAUUCUUCUGGUGUUUUUUUCCACACACAAACAUAUUUUAACCUGAUAUUUGUGGCUUUGCAAAAUAAAUUGAAUGCUAAAAUUUCUCAAAUGCUGUGUGUGGUUGUAUUUUGUCAAUGUACAGUAAAAAUUGAUGUACAAUUGCAUUGAUGUUUUUCAACAUGGUGUUGGGGUAAACUGUAUCUACCAUACAAAACUGGGAAUAGUAUGCAAGUAUGUUGGACUGUUCGUGGCCCCUCUAUAAAUAUUGUGGCCCCUUGAUGGCCCCACCCUCAGAAAAAUCCUAGAUCCGCCACUGUCUCAAAGGCAAGUAGACGGAGAGAUGAACAAACACGACACGCUCUGAUGAGGAUUUUUAAAAGCACACUGAAACACGGACCGCUCUCUUUGCGUCCGUCUCUCCUCUAAAAUAUCAAAAGGAUUCAUUUUUCCAGAUGCGUCGUAGCCUCCGUUUCUCCUCUGUACGAGUGGAGGCCAGUGGUUCGCUGGACCUCCUGACCCGCGUGUCGUCUCUUCUCACGUUGUUGUUGGUGCUCUUGCUGUUAUUGUUGGUGUUGUUGUUUCGAGCGUGUGCGUAGUCCCUGCUUUUUGCUCAUGCCAGUGUCCUCCUGCUCGUACAGCACGUAGUUACGCUAAGGAUCAGACCAGCUAUGAAUUCUUAAGACACUUGCACAUAAAUCAGAUCGCCGGUGUUCAUCUCUACACAUGAAGGUUUUAUGCUUGAUAAUAAUAAGAGACCAACACUGACAAAAAGCACACGUGAGGCACAACCAGUGAUUUCAAAAAUAUAUUUCUUUACAUUUCAAGGCUUUAUAGCCCAUCCAAUCAACAUUCACACAUAGGUUUCAAACAGGCGCUCCUAAAGCGCCCUCUAGUGUUUGCUUAGUAAAAUUGCCUUUAAUCAACUUAACCUCCUUCUCGUCUUCCUCUUUUAUCACCAUUAUUUCUAAAUCUGGUGUUUAUUCUGCAAAUCUCUGUACCUUCGUAUUUAUCUAUUCCUUUUGUUUAACAGCUUCAUGAUUUCUUUGACCACGGCCCUUUGUGUCAGUGAUGUCCGAGUGAUUUAACCCUAAAAGUCAACCCCCAAAUGUCUGCAACCUUCUGUAACUACUGCAAAGCCUUGUAUGAGCUAAUAUAAAUACAUAAAAUAACAAAGAAAUCUGGUAAGCUGUAAUAAGCUGGCUUCACUCCUCCCGACGCCCCCAGUUUUCAGUGUUUUCCCUUCAUAUGAGCCAAGACGGUGGAUCAGCCACCAGUUUUCAUCCUAGUGAAAAGUCCACUUGUAUUUUUAUGCUCUUUAAAACAAAGAUAUUUGAAAGACAGAUAGUUCUAUGUGAAUAAUAAUAACUAUGAUGAUAAUCAAGAGGAAUCUAGAUGUUGAGCUGAAAUGAUCUGAGCCUGUACAUUUCUGUUGGAGUUCUGGACGUGUUGUGACGGCUGCUGUUCCACGGUCAGGUUCAGGUUGCGUUUCUGCUGUGACAAUACACUCCUGUACAGUUGUGAUCAGAAUAAAUGUAUAAAUUAAACCUCGCUUUGCCUUUUUAAUGCUUCGUGUACGGCAAUGUGCAUUUUGUCUUGGGGCUGACUGGAGAACUGUAAACUAGGACUUCCUGCUACAAAAGCACAUGUUAAAGGGGACGUGUUACGACUACAUUCUUAAAGUUAGAACAAUUUUGUGGUCUAUACAAAACAGGAAGAUGAAGAUUUUUUCACAAAACCCCUUUAAAUUAAGCAAUCUCACCAGCUCUUUUUGACAUUUUCAGCACAUUUAAGGAUACACGCUUGCUGGAUCACAGGAGGCUGGGUUUCCAGGUUGCUGGAGGACUGGAGGAGCUGAGCACGGAAUAGGGAGCAGGAUCCGGUAAGGUGAGGUCAGUAUGGAGUGGACAGCCAGGGAGCGGCUGGGAGACAGCGGGACUGGUCCGGUAGGUUGCAGCACGGUGUGAAAGGUGGUGGUGGAAAUGUAGAGAAGAGGCAGCUUACAAAAAUCAGGCAAGCUUGGAAAAACACACAGGAACUAGCAAUCUGGCUAGAAGUACGACUUGGACGAUAUCUAUUCGGAUUACUCGGUAAUCAGGCUCGGGAGCGGCAGAUACCAAAGUUGAGUUAAUCAUCCAGCGAAUAAAGAUGUCUCCCAGCAGCUUAUAUGUCCCUGGCCAACUGAUGAGCAGAUGGGCUGCAGCUGGUCCACUCCUUGACACGCCCACCUGCAGGAGAAGCUCAGAGAAGGUUUAGCAGAGAGAGGAGGACUCACCCCAGACCACGACACCAAGAUAACUUAAAGUGAUACUUUACAACUUUUUCGUGUUUUGAACUCAUUUUCUUGAGCCAGUAUGUGCCAAAUGACCCUUUACAUGGUGAAUGAAACGUCACUCAGACCCUCACCGCUCUGUGGCCAGAAUACCACACUUGCAACUUCAGAUUGCCGGUCAGGUCUGUUGGAGUUAGUAGAGCUGAUAUGCCUGGUUCUGCAGCCUUAAGGUGCUUUUCCAGGAACUCUACUCAGGGCAACUCGGAUCGAUGCAGUUCAGCCCGACCACGGUUUCCAAGGGCACGCUUUGGUAUUUUCCCUCUAUUUUCUCCCCUAUUUUUAGUCCCUGCUCCAUUGAGGUACCUGGCAAGGCUGAGUUGGGCCGGUAUCGUGAUUCUGGCCGCUGAUUGGCUAGGGGCUUCAUGGAGCUGGCGUGGGAACAAACCUGCUUUCAGAUGGGCUGACUCAAACCACGCUGUACAGAGCUGUUUUAGGCUGAGUAGUGCUCCUGGAAACCACCCUCAGUGUCUACAUGAGUGAUUCAUCACUAAAUUGAACAAAUCAGCAGCAGCAGCUCCUAGAUGUUAGUACUGGGUAUGGAAUGGAAUAUGAUUUAAAAUAUAACUCCAGCAAAAGUGUUGUUCUAACCUACAGAACCACCCAGGAUAAAAGGCUUAAUUUUCCUGUGUUUAAGUUGUCCAGCAACAGUCUGGCAGUCUGUGAGAAGAUAAAAUAUCUUGGACACUUUAUCACAGCCGAUAUGAGCGACCAUGAUGAUAUUUACAGGCAGUGCUGCAAGCUAUAUGUGCAAGCAGACACCAUUGCACGGACAUCCAGCUGUUGUUCCACACCUGUUAAAGUGGCAUUAUUUAAAGCAUACUGCACAUCUGUGGUCAUUCUAUAACAAGUCUAGCUUGCACAGGUUACAAGUGGCAUACAAUGAUGCAACGAGAAUCCUCCUCAAAAUUCCCAGGGGAGGCAGUGCUAGUCAAACGUGUGUUUCUGUGAGCGUGUGCACAUUUAAGGCACUUCUAAGAAAUUUCAUGUUCAAGUUUAUGAGACGGCUGGAAGAGUCUUCCAAUAGUAUUAUAGCUGCACUCUCAAAUCCCACUGUGAGCUGCUCUCGUUAUAUGUCUAGGCUGAGAAUGCACUGGUUAAAAUGUUUGGGUGGAUUUAUCUCAACUGGUUCGUUUUGUUGUCCCUUACCUCCACUGCAGUUAUAUCCUGUGAUUUUAUACAGGCUUUUAUUGGUAUUAAUGUUAAUUGGUAUCCUUUCUUUUCUUGUGUUUUUCUUUUAAAAAGGACUUUAAGUCUGGCAAUAAACAUAUUAUAAAUCAGCUGCGUUCCUGAUUUAAAACAUGCAGGAAAUGUGCUGAAAGCAGACUGCAGCUCCAGGUAUGUCAGCUCAAUAUUUGUUUGAGUCCCAACAGAGCCAACUGCCAGUCUGGAGUUGAAAGUAGAACAUUCUGGCCAAAGGGGUGCGAUGUGAGCUGGGUGGCUGUUCAUUAACCCUCUAAAACAGGAGUAUUCGAUUCCGGUCCUGGAGGGCCGGUAUCCAGCAUGUUUUAGUGGUUUCUCUGCUCCAAUAUGC